rnacentral:misc_RNA from 1 species
AGAUCACAAAACUGUCUCCUACUAUGAUGGUCCUGCACUAAUUUUACUAACGUUGCUGCCGCUGCUACUACAUCCCCAACAUAACAUAAAUAUAGCUUAAACUUGCUAGAAAUGGAAAUGCAUGAUCUGUGAAGCAUGGAGUAAAUUUUCAAGGCCUGGUAAAUAUGCAGCCUUUCGGAGGAGAUGUAGUGAAGGGAGAAUUUGAAGGAAAAACUAGGAAAAAAAAAUUGUGUAGCUUUUCAAUUAAAAAGAGUUAUACAAAAGAAAGAAAGAAGGUAAAUGAGGUGGGUUUGAAGCUUUGGAUAUCCUGAUAGGAAAAAAGUAGUGAAGCUGCGAGGGAAGUCAUAGGCUGUUUCUGAAAAAUCUGCAACCUGAAAGGAGGUGGGCUUGAAGAUCAAAUUCUCCUAAGAAUGCAUGGCAGGGUUAAAAAGUCACAGGUUGGUUUCCUAAAAAAUCUCCAACCAGUGAAAGAAUCUGAGUGG